rnacentral:lncRNA from 1 species
AUUAAAAAGUACUAAUAUUUACUUAUCAUCAAGAGUCAUGUCAGGGUUCUUCAUUAAUUAUGAAAACAAUUUAUUUCAAUAAAGAAAUCAUCAAGUCAAGUCAUAUCACGUCAAUCAAUUCAAUUAUGCUAAAAAUAAAAAAAAAUCAAACGAAUUAUAAUAUGCAUUUAUUUCAUUUUUCUCUUCGCGUGAAGUCAUUCUGACUUUCAUCUACUGAGGGCAAUACGAAUUUCUGACUACCAACGUGGAAUGACCAAUUCAUUUCAUAUUAUAUCAGUAAUGUGUGGCUUGCCAAACCAACAACACAUUUACGACUUUCCAAACCAUGACAUGAUCUAUGACCACGGUCGUGCCAAUAAUAGUGAUCCUACAAGUUAACUAUAGUCACAGUUGUACUUUGCCAAAGGUGACCCUUACAAUCAUAUCACGUCACCACUCUCAUCAUAGGAUAUGCCGUCAUCCAUAGGGAGCAAUCCCCUUACAUAUUUUCUAACCAGAGGGGGGAGAAACAGAAACUCCUUAGAGAUAAAAAGCCUAACGAAAGACUUUAUAAAUCAUG